rnacentral:misc_RNA from 1 species
CAAUCAUUAUUGAAAACACCUCAACACAAGGCAGUACCCUUUGUUGCUCUCUAGCUUUUUGUAUCAGUCCAGAUAUUUAGAUAUUUCAUCUUUUAACAUAUGCAAAAUUAUGAUAAUGACUUUCCAAAAGUGUAUGGUGUUGGUGUAAAAUGUUUCAGAGUUUCAUUAUUAUUCAUCUUUUCACGUAGCGGUACGAUCGCAUUGAAUUUAAGUAUCAGUGUAGUUGGUCGGCGUUCUUAGUUUGUUUCCAAAUAAUUUCAUCAUUUGAUUGAAGUCUUCAAGACCAGAAAUAUCUAUUGAAUGGUAAUUUAGUAAAAGUGUUGUAGUGGCCCGAAUAUGUGAUAUUGACUAGUUUGUACCUAAUACCGGUCUUUCGUUAUGGAUGAAACAGCCAAUGGAUUUAUAUAAUAGUUUUAUAUAUGAUGCAACCCAGUACUUCGACAGAGUCCUGGGACUUUCCAUGGCAAAACAAAAUGAGGAAAAAAAUACCUAAAAUAGUCUCUCCGAGAGAAAGAGGCAGACAUCCUGGAGAAGUCUGCUUUUUGAUGUGUUUUCUACGUCUUCUUAUGUUAACUUCUAGUCUAGUCUUAAUUGGUAUCUCAGUAUGGUCUAUAGUAA